UCAAACGUUUCAUUGAUGCGCCAAAUUAGCUGUAUCUUCUAAACUAUAUAUGGUAGUACAAUCGCACAUUGUGCCAACGGUUUUUGUCUGGUCAAAGUUUUAAAAACUUUGAGUAGGCAAAAGCUUAGGGAAACUUACCCAAGAACCAUCCACAACACCAAUGUCUUAUUUUAUCCCAGCUAGAAAACUAGGCCAUAGAGAAAGAUAAUAGGGGUGACUAAAAUGGUGCCAGCAGUCGCGGUUACACCACUAACCCGAGCUAAUUUUCACAAUAAAAGAACCAUUAAUUGAUUAUACAAUUACCUUCUUACGUAAAAAAUAAAUUUUAGCUACACCCAGACAAAUCAUAAAUAACCUUAGUUCUAACAAACCACAACUUUCAAAACUCGGAUUAGAUACCCGAUUAUUGUGUGGCCCAACCCACCAAAGAAUACUACCAGCGAAAGCUCGAACCUCAAACAAUGUGGCGGUGCUUAACUCCUCAUCAGGGGAUCCUGUGGCUUAAUUCGAUAAUCCACGACUAACCUUAGCUUUUAUCGCACACAGCUUGUGUAUGGCCGUUUAUGCUUGCUCAAAAAAGAUAAAAAAGGAAGCAAUUAGGGUUCAUCCCACUAAUUCAGGUGACAUACAGCCAAUUAAAAGCCGCUACAUGGGAUACAAAUGACUCAACCACCAAACUUAAAGAUUAAAUUCUUUAAUGAAGGAGGACUUGAAAGUAAGAUAUAGGUACAUAAAACCAGUCUGAACAAGAACUUAAGCGCGCACAAAUCGCCCGUCACUCCGGUAGUAAAAUCGGAUAAGUCGUAACAUAGUAGGGGUAAUGGAAAUUGCCCCUAA
rnacentral:rRNA from 1 species